UAUAUAUAUAUUCAUACAUACAAUUUUUUUCCUGUGUGUGUAUGUAUGUAUAUAUAUAUAUAUAUAUAUAUAUAUAUAUAUAUAUAUACAUACAUACAUACACAGGAAAAAAAUUGUAUGUAUGAAUAUAUACAUA